rnacentral:rRNA from 1 species
GACAUGCAAGUCGAACGCGAAAGUCCCCUUCGCGGGAGGGGCUUAGUGGCGCACGGGUGAGUAACACGUAGGUAAUUUAAAAGGCGGGUGGGGAAUAACAACCGGAAACGGUUGCUAAUACCGCAUAAUGCAGCGGCACCUAAUGGUGACAGUUGCACUGAGCGGGGGAUCGAAAGACCUCGCGUCUGAAGAGGAGCCUGCGGCGGAUUAGCUAGUUGGUAGGGUAACGGCCUACCAAGGCGACGAUCCGUAGCCGGCCUGAGAGGGCGGUCGGCCACACUGACACUGACAUACGGGUCAGACUCCUACGGGAGGCAGCAGUCGGGAAUUUUGGGCAAUGGGCGAAAGCCUGACCCAGCAACGCCGCGUGAAGG